rnacentral:rRNA from 1 species
CCUACGGGAGGCAGCAGUGAGGAAUAUUGGUCAAUGGGCGCGAGCCUGAACCAGCAAAGUAGCGUGCAGGAUGACUGCCCUACGGGUUGUACACUUCUUUUAUAAAGGCAUAAAGUGAGGCACGUGUGCCUUUUUGUAUGUACUUUAUGAAUAAGGAUCGGCUAACUCCGUGCCAGCAGCCGCGGUCAUACGGAGGAUCCGAGCGUUAUCCGGAUGUAUUGGGUUUAAAGGGAGCGUAGAUGGGUUGUUAAGUCAGUUGUGAAAGUUUGCGGCUCAACCGUAAAAUUGCAAUUGAUACUGGCAGUUUUGAGUACAGUUGAGGUAGGCGGAAUUCGUGGUGUAGCGGUGAAAUGCUUAGAUAUCACGAAGAACUCCGAUUGCGAAGGCAGCUUACUAAACUGCCACUGACAUUGAUGCUCGAAAGUGUGGGUAUCAAACAGGAUUAGAUACCCUUGUAGUC